GAAGAAGGAGACAGCAUAACUAAGACUCAUCUCAUCAAUUUGUAGAAGAAAAACUGUAGGAAUUUUUAUUGGAAUAGUAUUGAGUUUAUCAGUCAACUUGAGGCUAACAGACAUUGCAACAAUAUCAAGCCUUCUGAUCCACUGCACAGAGCUUCCUAUCCUACAUGAUUGUCUAUUGUAAUGCCAAAUUACAAGCAAUGGAGUCUCACUGUGUUGCCCAGGCUGGAGUGCUGUGGCAUGAUCUCAGCUCACUGCCAUCUCUGCCUCUUGAGUUCAAGCGAUUCUCCUGCCUCAGCUUCCCAAGUAGCUGGGAUUACAGGCGCACGCCACCACGCCCCGCUAGUUUUUGUAUUUUCAGUAGAGACGGGGUUUCACCAUGUUGGCCAGACUGGUCUGUAACUCCAGACUUCAGGUGAUCUGCCCACCUUGGCCUCCCAAAGUGCUGGGAUUACAGGCCUGAGCCACCAUGCCCAGCCAAUUUCCAUAUAUUUUUUAUACUGGGAUUUCAGAGAGUAAUUUCCUCUUCAUGUGUAACCAGUUAUGUGAAUUAAAACAGAUUCAGCCUUCUUUUACGGUUGUGAAAAACUGUAAUUCUUCCUCUCAAGUUCCCCCUUGGAAGGAGGGAUAUUUCAGGCUCAACAUUGUCCAGUCUGACCAUCGUUAGAGAGAAAGGCCUUAAAAUGUAUUUUCUAAAAGCUUUUCUAUAACUAAUCAACUUAAGUGUCAGUUGGGUGUCUGAGAUCUGUAAGACUUUGAGAUUAUUGCUCCAAAUUCCAUAGGACACUAAUCUCUUUCUUCUUAAUACUGUUUUUACUAAGAUUCAAGCAUAAGGGGCUUAUAUCCAAGGGGAUUUUUCCUAAGAAAAUGUAAAUAUAUAAAUAUAUGUACAGAAAUUAUUAAGAGUAGAAACAUUUGAGGAAUAGUGUGUCUAAUAGCAUAUACUCGGUGUUUUCCCCAUGAGUAAAUGAAAAAUGUUCAACAUAUAUGAAAAGAAUAAAGUGAAAAGUAAGAUCUUCAAAGAGGAUUAUUCGCUGCUGGAAAGUAAGUAAAAAGCAUCACAGAAGAGGCCAGACUCUCUGGCUCAUACCUGUAAUCUCAACAAUUUGGGGGGCCAAGGUAAGAGGAUCACUUGAGCCUAGGAGUAUGAGACCAGCCUGGGCAAUAUGGCAAGAUCUUCAAGACCUUGGCUCUACAUAAAAAAAAAAAAAAAAAAAAAAAAGCACGCUGAGCAUGCUCCUUGCUCCUCUGGUCCUAGGGAGACUGAGGUGGAAGGAUUGCUUGAGCCCAGGAAGUAGGGGCUGCAGCUGUGAUUGCAUCACUGCCCUUCAGCCUGGGAGACAGUGCAAGGCCUUGUCUCAAAAAAAAAAAAAAAAAAAAAAAAAAAAAAAUCAAGGAAGAGGACCCUUUUGCUUCAAAUAAGCAAAAAGAAAAGAAUAAAGUGAAUUUGUUUUCCUAUAUGGUAAUUGUGAAUUUUUCUAUUCCAUAAGGUAAUAGGGUCAUAAAUGCUGCUAGCUGAUGAGGCUGGGCCACUGCAACACUUAGGUGACAUAUCCAUUAGUUGCAGGUACUGCUAGAACCAGUGUUACUAGUACUGCCACCAUCUGCCAGUAACUGAGAACCAACACUCUUCCCAGUACUGCACCAAGAGGAACCUAAUGCAUAUUUCAUAAGCUUUCUAGGUAGAUAGAUGUCCAUGUUCCAUGGAGUGGUCCACCAUUUGCUAGCUCUAUGUCCUUGUGAUAUUCCUUUAUUUUCUCUACUUCUCACUUUUUCAUGUGUAAAAUGAGUCUCCUGGUGCUAUUCAUCUUAUAGGUUGUUUUCAGUACAGUUGGUCUCUGACAUACCAUGUUUUGACUUACAAUUUUUCAACUUUACAGUGGAUUUAUCAGGACAUAAGUCCAUCAUAAGUCAAAGAGCAUCUCUAUUAUGUAAAGUGUGUAUCACAAUGCCUAGAACACAAUAAGCUCUUGGUGAAGAGUUUUCUAUUAUUAUUCUUUUUAGUGUUUUCGUUAAUAUUGUUGUUAGUUUCUCUUUCUUACCUAUGAAAACUACAUGAGAGAUACAGGACUUUGGUGACUUGAAAAGCUAAAUCACUAAAUAAGUGUCAUCAUAAAGAAUGAUAUCCAGAGAAAGGAUUAUGAGAAGAUGGUAGAGUAGGAAGCACCAGGAAUCCAUCUACUCACCUACAUAAAAAUUACAGUGGAAGAAUCUGUUUGAUGUAAAUAUUUAGAACUAUUAAAGGCUUUCAACUUCCAGAAGAUUUUAGUUGUAUAUUGUGAUUAAUUUUGUUCAAUUGCAGCUCUCAGUGCAGUAGCAACUACCUGUCUAUCUGUAGCCACCGCCUCCCCAGCCUCCCACUCCCUACUCCUCACAGUCAUAGAGGAGGGCAUCCAUUGUCUGUUGCACCUGCCCCCAUUUGUUGAUUGUUGCAAGCCCCUCCCCUCUGGCUGAAGUGACUUCCUGGAGGUUUACAGGGCCAGUGAUUUUCAUUUUCACUUCAUGUUCUCUUUUUUCCUUUAUGAGAGUCAGACAUUGUUAAAGAUUAAGAUAUUAAAAAGCAACCACAUAUGUGCAGAAAUUAGAAAGCCACCACAAUUGCUCAAGGAAAGGUGCAGGCUCAGCAAAGACCUAAACAGCCUCAAAUUUAUACCUCAAGUUCAUCAUCAGCACAGAGAAAACCAGCAGCACAAUUAAAUUUUUAAAAAAGCAAACAUCAAAAAAAAAAAAAAACAUCCAAGUGAAAAAGAAUAAAAUUGGACCCGUAAUUAACACCAUAUAUAAAAAUUAACUCAAAAUUAAUGUAAGACCUAAAUAUAAGAUCAGAAGUGAUAAAAGUCUUAGAAGAAAGUGAAGCACAGGGCACAUCUUUAUGUUGAGAAUUCCUAAAACCCAAGAACAAAAACAAAAUAAAAUUUAUAAAUGAGGAAGAUACUUGAGUAGACAUUUCUCCAAAGAAGAUAUACAAAGGAUCAAGUAUUAGGGACAUUAGGCACAUGAUUAGGGAACAUCCCUAAUCAUUAGGGAAGUAGAAAUCAAAACUACAAUGGGAUACCCUCUCGCACCCAUUAGAACGGCUGCUAUCCGAAACAAAAACAGAUAAAAAGUGUUGGUGAGGAGGUGAACAAAUUACAAUACUUGUGCAUCGUUGGUAGGAAUAUAAAAUGGUACAACCACCGUGGAAGGCAGUAUGAUAGUUCCUCAAAAAAUUAAAAAUAGAAUUAACAUAAAAUCCAGGAGUUCCAGUUGAAGGUAUAUACUCAAAAGAAUUUGAAGAGAUAUUUUGAAGAGAUAUUUGUAGAAUUAUAUUCACAGUAACAUUAGCUAAUACGUAGAAUCAAACCAAGUGUCCAUUGACAGAUGGAUGAAUAAGUAAAAUAUGGUACAUCCAAUGGAAUAUUAUUUAGCUUUAAAGGAAGGAAAUUCUGGCAUGUUUACAAGAUGGAUGAACCUUAAGGACAUUAUUCUAUGUGAAAUGAGCUGGCACUAAAGGACAAAUGCUGUAUGAUUCCACUUGUGUGAGGUAUUUAGAGUAAUCAAAUUCAUAGAGACUGUGGGUAGCAAGCCACCCAGGUGCCGAGGCAAGAGACCGAAGGCACAAGCUGUUCCAGUAUAAUAAAAUAUAUAGAAUCAGAAUAGUUAUACUAGAAAUAGAUUAUAGAUAUGAUUAUGAAUAUUAUUAAUAAUUAGUUUGUAGCAUUACUCUUUACUCCAAUAUUAUAGUAAUAUUUCUUCUACAAUUAUAACCUAGGAAAAACCAGGCCAUGCAGAGAUAGGAGGUGAAGGGACACGGUGAGAAGUGACCAGAAGAUGAGUGUGAGCCCUCUGUUAUGCCCGGGCAGGGCCACUAGAGGGCUCCCUGGUCUAGCGGUAACACCAGUGCCCGAGAAGGCACCUGCUACUUAGCGGACCUUGGUCUAGGGAUAGCACCAGUGCCUGGGAAGGCACCCGUUACUUAGCAGACUGGGAAAGGGAGUCUCCCUUUCCCCGGGGGAGUUACAGAAGAAUCUGCUCCAUCACUUCUUGUGGAAGGCCUGACAUCGGUCAGGCCCACCCACAGCCAUCCGGAGGCCUAAACGUGUCUCUGUGAUGCUGUGCUUCAGCGGUCACGCUCCUGGUCCACUUUCAUGUUCUGCCCUGUACACCUGGCUCUGCCUUCUAGAUAGUAGUAGCAGAAUUAGUGAAAGUAUUAAAGUAUUUGAUCUUUCCGAGAAAUACAUAAAAGAAAUAAUGAUGUAAGCUGUCCCCUCUCUCCACCUUGGCUACCAAAUAGGGAAGGGACCCCUGUCUGGUAGACACGUGACUCGCAUGACCUUACCCAUCAUUGGAGAUAACUCACAUUCCUUACCCUCUUGCCUUGUAUACAAUAAAUAACAGCGCGGCCAGGCAUUCGGGGCCACUACCGGCCUCCGUGCCUUGGUGGUAGUGGUCCCCCGGGCCCAGCUGUCUUUUCUUCUAUCUCUUUGUCUUGUGUCUUUAUUUCUAUGAUCUCUCGUCUCCAUACACGAAGAGAAAAACCCACAGGUCCUGUAGGACUGGACCCUACAGAGACAGAAAGUAGAAUGGUAGCUUUCCAGGGCUAUGGGAAUGGGGAAAUCGGGAGUUAUUGUUCAAUGAA
rnacentral:lncRNA from 10 species